AUUGAACGCUGGCGGCAGGCCUAACACAUGCAAGUCGAGCGAGCGGCGGACGGGUGCGUAAUGCUUAGGUAUCUGCCUGGUCGUGGGGGAUAACGUUCGGUAACGGUAACUAAUACCGCAUACCAUCAGUAGUGCCCAUACGGGUAUAGCUUUUUGGUGGGGUAACGGCUCACCAAGGCGACGGCCCCUAGCUGGUCUGAGAGGAUGACCAGCCACACUGGAACGGAGACACGGUCCAGACUCCUACGGGAGGCAGCAGUGGGGAAUAUUGCACAAUGGGCGCAAGCCUGAUGCAGCCAUGCCGCGUGUAUGAAGAAGGCCUUCGGGUUGUAAAGUACUUUCAGCGGGGAGGCGUUACCCGCAGAAGAAGCACCGGCUAACUCCGUGCCAGCAGCCGCGGUAAUUC
rnacentral:rRNA from 1 species